UAGCAAUAUCUCGUAGUCGGAGCGGCGCAAGGGUGCGUAACACGUGGGUAAUCUGCCAUGAAGUUUGGGAUAACUCGCUGAAAGGCGAGCUAAUACCGGAUGUGACGAUUGGAAGGCAUCUUCUGAUCUUCAAAGUUGGGGACCGUAAGGCCUGACGCUUCAUGAUGAGCCCGCGGCCUAUCAGCUAGUUGGUGAGGUAACGGCUCACCAAGGCUAAGACGGGUAGCUGGUCUGAGAGGACGACCAGCCACACUGGAACUGAGACACGGUCCAGACACCUACGGGUGGCAGCAGUCGAGAAUUUUUCACAAUGGGGGAAACCCUGAUGGAGCGACGCCGCGUGGGGGAUGAAUGGCUUCGGCCCGUAAACCCCUGUCAUUCGCGAACAAUGCCUGUGGUCUAAUAAAUCACAGGUUGAUAGUAGCGGAAGAGGAAGGGACGGCUAACUCUGUGCCAGCAGCCGCGGUAAUACAGAGGUCCCAAGCGUUGUUCGGAUUCACUGGGCGUAAAGGGUGCGUAGGCGGUCGGGUAAGUCUGAUGUGAAAUCUCGGAGCUCAACUCCGAAACUGCAUUGGAUACUAUUCGGCUUGAGGUCUGGAGGGGGGACUGGAAUUCUCGGUGUAGCA
rnacentral:rRNA from 1 species